UUACGUCCAUAUCAUGUUGAAACACCGGCUCCCUGUACAAUCUCUGAAGUUAAGCAAUGUCAAGCCUGAUCAGUACCUAGAUGGGUGACUGCUUGGGAAUACCAGAUGCUGUAAG